rnacentral:rRNA from 1 species
AAGGAUUCCCCUAGUAACGGCGAGUGAAGCGGGAAGAGCUCAAAUUUGUAAUCUGGCAGGCCUUUGGCUGUCCGAGUUGUAAUCUGGAGAAGUGUUUUCCUGUCCCGGACCGUGUACAAGUCCCUUGGAACAGGGCGUCAUAGAGGGUGAGAACCCCGUCUUUGACACGGACUCCCGGUGCUUUGUGAUGCACUCUCGAAGAGUCGAGUUGUUUGGGAAUGCAGCUCAAAAUGGGUGGUAAAUUCCAUCUAAAGCUAAAUAUGGGCGAAAGACCGAUAGCGAACAAGUACCGUGAGGGAAAGAUGAAAAGCACUUUGGAAAGAGAGUUAAACAGUACGUGAAAUUGUUGAAAGGGAAACGCUUGAAGUCAGUCGCGUCUCCCGGGACUCAGCCCUGCUCUUCAUGCAGGGUGCAUUUCCUGGGACGACGGGCCAGCAUCGAUUUCAGUCGCUGGAGAAAGGCAAGGGGGAAUGGCACCUUUUUUGGUGUGUUAUAGCCCCCGGUCGCAUGCAGCGACAGGGAUCGAGGAUCGCAGCACGCCUCUAAUGGCCGGGGUUCGCCCACGUUAACGUGCUUAGGAUGCUGGCGUAAUGGCUUUAAGCGACC